CUCUCUUCGUGUCUGAGUUAAAGUCUCUGCGACGGAGGUUGGUUUAGUUUAUACUUACAUGAUGAAUUCGAUUCGAGAUGGUAUUAUUUAUGGUUUGCGUAAACUUGAAUACGAUAAAGUUAUGGACAAUCAGCGAAGAGUUUAUGUCGAAACCUAUGUGGCUGGUCGAGAUGUCCUUUAUAAUAUAAACUUAUGCUUGCUCCAACUGAGUCAGGGAAGAGUUAAUUUUUCAAAUAGACCCCUUCGUCUUUGACUUUAUAAGCCAUGCUUCGAUCGAGAUAGCGGUUGUAUUAAUGACUGAUCACUUAAUACGAUCAGUAUAAACUACACAACAGACACAUAAAGUGUCACGGCAAACUUCAUGAUCACACGAAAUUAUGAUACAGUCAGGGAUAUUUUGUUCAGGACAAAUUUUGUGGCAAAUAGUCAAAAUAUAAAUAAACUACAAGAGUCUAUAGAUACGAUUUAAUAGAACAAGUGUUUAAAUAUAAGGCUUAUAGUUAUAUAUAAGACAUUAAAAUAUUUGAUAAUUUGUUAAUAUCACAAAUGUCAAUAUACAAAUCUGUUCGACUGAGGUUUUUAAUAAUAGCGUCUCAGAAUUGGUCAUGUAUUGCCUUAGACUUAGUUAACUUUAUUUUGCAGUGACUUUGUAUUUUAAUUUUGCCCUGACACUUGCAUACGGAAGCCGGCUUCCGUAUUUGUAACAAAACCACUAAAAAUAACGCCGGUCCUAUUUAAUAUAAUCUCCCGCCAAAAUAAUAAUUCUGAUUCGAAACAUUGCAAGUGAGCCAAGUCCGUCUCUCCCUUCACAGUCUCGCGCGCCGCUUCGCGGCGCGCUCGAUCUCGUCGCUUCGCGACUCGGACUCUGUUGAGACGGACUUGAUCCAAGUCUACUCGGUAACGAAUGCUAGUGUUUUCACGAGUUGCUCAUGGUGGAUAUGUAUCCUAAAGUUUCAAAUGCUGUAAAAUAUGAUAGAAUGAAUAUUAGUCUAGAAGGGUCAUCUU